rnacentral:rRNA from 1 species
AUGAACGCUGGCGGCGUGCUUAACACAUGCAAGUCGAACGAAGCACUCUAUUUGAUUUUCUUCGGAAAUGAAGAUUUUGUGACUGAGUGGCGGACGGGUGAGUAACGCGUGGGUAACCUGCCUCAUACAGGGGGAUAACAGUUGGAAACGACUGCUAAUACCGCAUAAGCGCACAGGAUUGCAUGAUCCGGUGUGAAAAACUCCGGUGGUAUGAGAUGGACCCGCGUCUGAUUAGCCAGUUGGCAGGGUAACGGCCUACCAAAGCGACGAUCAGUAGCCGACCUGAGAGGGCGACCGGCCACAUUGGGACUGAGACACGGCCCAAACUCCUACGGGAGGCAGCAGUGGGGAAUAUUGCACAAUGGGGGAAACCCUGAUGCAGCGACGCCGCGUGAGCGAAGAAGUAUUUCGGUAUGUAAAGCUCUAUCAGCAGGGAAGAAGAAUGACGGUACCUGACUAAGAAGCACCGGCUAAAUACGUGCCAGCAGCCGCGGUAAUACGUAUGGUGCAAGCGUUAUCCGGAUUUACUGGGUGUAAAGGGAGCGCAGGCGGUGCGGCAAGUCUGAUGUGAAAGCCCGGGGCUCAACCCCGGUACUGCAUUGGAAACUGUCGUACUAGAGUGUCGGAGGGGUAAGUGGAAUUCCUAGUGUAGCGGUGAAAUGCGUAGAUAUUAGGAGGAACACCAGUGGCGAAGGCGGCUUACUGGACGAUAACUGACGCUGAGGCUCGAAAGCGUGGGGAGCAAACAGGAUUAGAUACCCUGGUAGUCCACGCCGUAAACGAUGAGUGCUAAGUGUUGGAGGGUUUCCGCCCUUCAGUGCUGCAGCAAACGCAUUAAGCACUCCGCCUGGGGAGUACGACCGCAAGGUUGAAACUCAAAGGAAUUGACGGGGGCCCGCACAAGCAGUGGAGUAUGUGGUUUAAUUCGACGCAACGCGAAGAACCUUACCAGGGCUUGACAUAUAAGUGAAUAAUUAAGAGAUUAGUUAGCUCUUCGGAGCACUUAUACAGGUGGUGCAUGGUUGUCGUCAGCUCGUGUCGUGAGAUGUUGGGUUAAGUCCCGCAACGAGCGCAACCCCUGUUCUUAGUAGCCAGCGGUUCGGCCGGGCACUCUAGGGAGACUGCCAGGGAUAACCUGGAGGAAGGCGGGGAUGACGUCAAAUCAUCAUGCCCCUUAUGACUUGGGCUACACACGUGCUACAAUGGCGUAAACAAAGGGAAGCGGAGCCGUGAGGCCGAGCAAAUCUCAAAAAUAACGUCUCAGUUCGGACUGUAGUCUGCAACCCGACUACACGAAGCUGGAAUCGCUAGUAAUCGCAGAUCAGAAUGCUGCGGUGAAUACGUUCCCGGGUCUUGUACACACCGCCCGUCACACCAUGGGAGUUGGAAAUGCCCGAAGUCAGUGACCCAACCGCAAGGAGGGAGCUGCCGAAGGCAGGUUCGAUAACUGGGGUG